rnacentral:lncRNA from 1 species
UCCUAUAAUAAUAUGGAUUUAUCGAAAGAGUAACAGAGAUGCCGUAUACGAAAAAUUAAGGUUAAGGUUACGCAGAACGAAACCAAUAUAUUAUCAAUUGCAAUACAUAUCCCUUGGCUCUUCACAAGAAAAAAGGAGGGAGAAAAACACAGAACAAGAAUGGAAUGACGUUAAAAAAUUAGAAGAGGAAUACAAAUGUCUCCAUUUCUUCAUAUAUGUUGUAUCUCAUUUUUCUUCUAUUGAUUCUCUAAAUAUUAUAAUACCUCUUUCAUUGCAUAUACAUUUAGCGUUGCUGCUAAAAGAAUUCCUGGCCCAACUCCCUUUAGAAAUGAUGAAUCCAGUUGCAUCUCGAUUUCAAAUUUUCUCUCAAAAUUUUCUCCAAUGAUUUUUCUCGUUAUGAAAAUGUGAACCUGGAGAAAAGAGACCGUGAAGAUCCUGAAGAAUCGCUUGCAGGGCUAGGUGGCAUUUCAGUAGUCGCUCGGUACGCGGCUUGACACUUCUGGAGCUGCAUUGCAAGCAAAUUGAAUAGGAUUAGGAAAGGGGGGGAGGGACCACCACUGAACCAUGCCUAUAGAUUUUUUGGCUCAAUGGGAGCAGAUUAAUAUACACACUCGAUUUGAGUUAUGCCCAAAAACCAGAAGAAAGACGAAAACAGCAGAGAAACGGAGUAAAAAUCCAAGUUUUGAGUUGGAGUUUUAUACUCUACAUUAAGUUUAGCUUUAGAGAUGGAAAAUCAUUUAUCUACAGCUAAGAUUUUAUCGUAUACAUUGAGCUAUCAAUGAAAUCGGC